rnacentral:rRNA from 1 species
UACGGAGGGGGCUAGCGUUGUUCGGAAUUACUGGGCGUAAAGCGCACGUAGGCGGCUUUGUAAGUUAGAGGUGAAAGCCCAGGGCUUAACCCUGGAAUUGCCUUUAAGACUGCAUCGCUAGAAUCGUGGAGAGGUGAGUGGAAUUCCGAGUGUAGAGGUGAAAUUCGUAGAUAUUCGGAAGAACACCGGUGGCGAAGGCGGUCUGCUGGGCAGUUGCUGACACUGAGGCGCGACAGCGUGGGGAGCAAACAGG